GCUAGUGUAGCACAGUCGGUAGUGCAUCUCACUCGUAAUGAGAAGGUCGCGUGUUCGAGUCACGUCACUAGCUCCA
rnacentral:tRNA from 2 species